rnacentral:rRNA from 1 species
GACGAACGCUGGCGGCGUGCUUAACACAUGCAAGUCGAACGGUAAGGCCCUUCGGGGUACGACGAGUGGCGAACGGGUGAGUAACACGUGGGUGAUCUGCCCUGCACUUCGGGAUAAGCCUGGGAAACUGGGUCUAAUACCGGAUAGGACCAUGGACUUCACGGUUUGUGGUGGAAAGCUUUUGCGGUGUGGGAUGGGCCCGCGGCCUAUCAGCUUGUUGGUGGGGUAAUGGCCUACCAAGGCGACGACGGGUAGCCGGCCUGAGAGGGUGUCCGGCCACACUGGGACUGAGAUACGGCCCAGACUCCUACGGGAGGCAGCAGUGGGGAAUAUUGCACAAUGGGCGCGAGCCUGAUGCAGCGACGCCGCGUGGGGGGAUGACGGCCUCGGUUGGUAAACCGUACUUUCUAGCCUCGACGAAG